rnacentral:tRNA from 1 species
GGCUCAAUGGUCUAGAGGUAUGAUACUUCCUUCGGGUGGAAGUGGCCCCGGGUUCGAUUCCCGGUUGAGCCC